CAUGGUUGUUCCAAAUGCAAGAUUUAUACAAUACAUUGGUGCCAGGUUCCGUGUGGAUGUGCAACUGUUACGUCUGUUUGGCUUCACAAAUUUCAGACUUCAUCACAUAUUUUGGGUUGUUGUGCUUUAUAUGCCUUUUUGGAUUGGUUGUUCUUCUCUGAUUCCCGAAAUGUUUGUCAACUACCUUUAAUGCUCAACACUCCAUAUGC
rnacentral:lncRNA from 1 species